GGUAAAUUGGCCGAGAGAUUAGGCGGUAGGUUGUAGCCCUAAAGACAGAGGUUUUAGUCCUUUAUUUACCA
rnacentral:tRNA from 1 species